UGCAGAAGUCUUUGCAGCUCAUGGUUUAUAUGGGACAAACAUUUAAAAAACAACCAGGACAGGGGGUGUUCUGCAUUUGUGCUCAGAUGAGAUAAACCGUUGCUAUUUUGCAGUCGUCAACUUACAUUGUAUGUUCCAAGGAUUCUGCCGUUGCUAUGGUCAAGUUGUCCUGACCUAGAGAAAUUCCAGAGAUAAAAGAAUGCCAUCUGUAGAAGCAUCAAGGGUUUGGGUUCCAGGAGGACAAUUCUCAGCCUUCACACUGUCAGACAAACACAACUUUUUCUCAACAAACAACAAGAGGCAAGUGGGCAAUGUGGAGUAUGGUGUGUAGAUAAGUGCCGCACGCCACCUAGCUGAUCACAAUAGAGUUUCUUAGCAGCCACACAACUAUGGCCUGGUCCCAAGAUGGCCGACUUCCGGUUCCAUCCUACUAUCAAGUCAGCACAUCCCUGAGAAGGCGUACCACCAACCUUACUCAACGCUCUUCCUGGUCGGGAGGUACACUUGCAGCUCAGAUUCCUUCUCUCCCGUUCAGAGACAUUUAAAAAAAAAUAAGGAAAUGAAAAUACAAGGGAAAAAAUAUUUGCCGAUAUAAACUUCACAAAGUCGUAUUUGCGUUCAGUGGGUUACAUUUUGUAUACUUUGAAAAUAUAAACUACAUUUCUUGCUGUUUAAUAAGAUGUGCAACAGAUAAAAACUGUCAAACAAUAAAUGUUUUAUGUUUCAUUCACUUUUGUAUGCUUUAAGAAACAGAAUAUAUAAAACAUAUGGGUUAGAAUAUAUUAUUAUCACAUAAGUCUCUUGUUGGUUUUGGGCUGGUAAUUCACCCGUGGCUGCGCCUGUCUGUGAAUAGAAUACGUACCAUUUAAUUAUGUUACCAGUUGACCAGGAAGGCCUCUGCUGCAUUAUUCUAUC